ensembl:lncRNA
GAGACCAGGUGACUUCCCACUCAAGGCGGGUGAGGACUCAAAUCCAGCACUGGUCAUGCCGAGAGCGCCUGGGGAAGCCAGGACCCAGUGACCUAGGGCUGGGGGUCAGUGCUCUGGGGAGGGCUGAAGAUCUGUCAAAUACAGGCAAGGGGCAGCUACACCCAUGCAGACCCCUCAAGAGCACUCACACCUCCGUGAGAGUUGUCUGAGGCCUCUCCCAGGUGGCUCUGGGGAGUGAGGGGUGCUGUGGGGUGCUGGCUGCCAAGGCCAGUUCUAAGCAAUUCAGACAAGAAAGAGCAGGAGUCCCAGCCCACCCUGCAGUCCUACUGCUGCCCUGCUGGAGGCCACGCUUGUCCCCCAGGGAGUCCUCAGUUUUAACAUCUGUAAAAUGGACGGGCUGGAAUAAGACACAGUCCGGAGGCCAUCCUGGCCCUGUGGGGCAUUUCAGUCAUCACCAUGAAGGGAGGGAGUCAGCUACUAGCCUGCAUCCAGGCAGGGACGUGGGCGGGACAGUCCAUGAUGAAGCACGGUCUUGUCCAAAUGCCAGCGGUGCCCCACGGAGAAAAAACAGCGAAGGACAACACAGCGCGGUUUGCCAGGCACCAGGCAGGCACUCUGCCUACAUCGGCUCAGGUCCAAAACAGCCAGGAAAGCUCAGCUCUGGGACAGCUGGAAGGGUCCCUCCCCAGGUGAACUCACCAGGACUGAGCAGGUGCGCCUGCCCACCCCCAGCACUGCACUGGGAAGCUGGGGCCCACGAGCUUGGCGAGUCCAUGUCCAACUCCUCCUGCCUCGCACAGCCACAGGUAGAACCACGGUUGUGGGGAAGACUCCCCACCCUAAGCCACCCUGAGGUUGGGCAUGAAGAAGGCGCUGUGACAUCUGAGCAGUGAUCACCCACCAGAAACUUCAGAAUCCAGGGGUGAAGAUGUUGACAGCUAAGGGGAGAUUGAGGGCUAGAAUGACAGAAGUUGGGGGGAGAUGAAGACCGCAGUCACCAAAUUCACAGCACUGACCGAGCUCCCGCCUCAUUCCCAGUCCCAGAAAUACACAGAGAGCAGCGCUGCAACCUGCCCUUGAAGCCUGCACCCAGGGCCACGUGCACCUCAGCCCGACACAGUUCAGAGAGGCAUGGAUGAGCUAAGGCCACCACAGCUUGUGCUGUCCAGCAGCUCUGCCCAGCCAAGUGUACACUGCUCUGGGCUUGGA